AAACUGAAGUAAAAUGGAUUGUACAAAAUAAAAAAAUGUUGGUACUGUACCGAAACAAACUGCACCCUGUUCCAAAGGUUCGGCACCUUAAAAAAUAAGUAAAAUUGGUGGAGUUUAUCCAUGUGAGCACAUCCAAUAAUGAGAUUUGAGCAAGCUGCCGAACAUGUCCUGUAUCUCGGUUGUCAACGGAGUCACUUUUUGGACAGGCCAAACAUUUCGCAAUGUAAAUUCACUUAAUGCUCACAGACAAACCAACUUUGGGUGGGUGCAAGAUCUCGGAACUCUACAUCAGAAAGAGAGGACUGUCGUCCUUUCAGAGGAAACCCCGUCUGAGCCUGUACGAGCCUCUGUACUUAAGGUGAUACUGGAGGCCUGAGUUACCAAAGUUCACCACUUCCCAUCAGGGGAAGGGCGGUUAUUGGUGGAGUCCCCAGAAGUACCAGGAUGUGGGAACCACAUGGAGGGACACCCACAGGCGGCGGGUCAUCUUUCCUGGAAACACUGGCUUCUCUGAUGUGCCGUCAACUUUGAGCGCAGGCUACUUUCACCUGCGUCCUACUCUCAUAAUCGCUCUCACUGCUGGCGGCCAUCAUUGAAAACAAUGGGGAAAUGUGAGGAGCCUUUCAACCUGCGACGUCACGCUACUUCCGG